CUGAGAGCUGAUGUAUUUCUUAACUCCUGCUGUGAUCAGGUGGAUCUGUCUGCACGUUUCUGUGUUGUGGCAUCUCCACGUAGCAAGCACCAAAGGAGGACUUGGAAGGUACCUCAUCCCCAGGGGCUUUUCCAGAUAUAUCCUAUCAUGCUAGGCGUACUAAAGGUGCUGGUAGAUGCUAAGGAGAAUGUUAAAGUGUACUUCUUGGUAACAUAAGUUUGCCUUCCAGUAGCUCUUUGCACCUGCAGUUUUAUUAAAAUGGUACCGGUGUUCACCUCAACACCUCGGCUGGGAAAUCUACAGUAGAGUCACCAUCUCUGUGAGCAGUGAGAUGUGCAGAGCUGGAAAGUCAGCAGAGGAAGAGAGCUGCUUUUGCCUGGCAUCUCCAGUCCUCCUCCCUCCUUCACCUGGAAGCUGGGAGUGCCAAUGUCGCUCUUGCACCCGCCCUACCUAAUGAAUGAGGUUUGCUGUGGUGUAGUAUAGAACACAGACCCAAACUGGACUGAGCCUGCAAGGAAGCUGCAGCAGAUGAACUGCUCUCUUCAAGGUCCAAAGCACGAAGCAGCAGAGCUCACAGAUGACACUGCGGACACACUGCAGCAAGUAUUGAAUAGAGGCUUUAAUGAAAGCCAUGACUCCAGACUGACUGAUGACAAGAUAAUCAUUGCCAUGGUAUCUGGGCAAGUGUUUCUGGAAAACCAUUGACUGAGAAACAUGCUGAACACCCUUGAAAUGGCUGAGGUCAAACUCUACGUGCCUGGGGUGAGUAGGGAGCAACAUCAAAGCCAUGUUUUUUGUCUCGAAGCUCAGAUACAGAAGAGAGAUGUUUCCAUUCAACCCCUGUGUCUGCUUUUAUGUUUUAGUGGUGGGUGAAAGAAAAAGUAGUCUUGCAUUAGAUAUGCAGGAUGUCCUUUCUGAGAUGCCCUGGCUCUCUUGAUUCAUUUAGGCCUCUGUCUUCUUGAUUGCAGAGAACUUAUUUUGGACGUGG
rnacentral:lncRNA from 1 species